AAGAACAUCUGUUACACCAGAUUAUACGAUUUCAAAUAAGAAUUUAAUUGGUUACUACAACACUAAAGAUUUAGUUCAAGAAAAAUGCCCAGGACGAGUUGUUCCUUAUUUAUAUCUUUUCUAGUUUUUGGUAUUGCAUUGACAGAAUUUUGCAGUGAUAGGGCUAAGACAUAUUGCAGAAAGGCGAAUAACAUGUUUCCCUAUGCCCGAACUGAUCUGGAAUACUGCAAUCGUGUGGAUAUGUGGGUCAAGUGUUUCGAAGGUGUAUCCGCUUAUUGUGUUCUGAUAUUCGAAACAGUGGUUAGACUGAUGUGCACCUAGUGAAAUCAUCCAUUCUGCCCCCACCGCGAAGGUCGUGUACCAAUCAACGAAUAGGAAUAUAGAUGUGACGCCAGAAGUUAUUUGAAAAGGAGAAAGAAUGUUGAUGUAAAUAAAUGUAUUUAUGCGCAUCGUA